CAAAGGUUAAUUCCGGUGGCGGAUGGGCAUGCGUCGCAUUAGUUAGUUGGCGGUGUAACGGACCACCAAGACGACGAUGCGUAGGGGUUCUGAGAGGAAGGUCCCCCACACUGGUACUGAGACACGGACCAGACUCCUACGGGAGGCAGCAGUGAGGAAUAUUGGUCAAUGGGCGGGAGCCUGAACCAGCCAAGUCGCGUGAGGGAUGACGGCCCUAUGGGUUGUAAACCUCUUUUGCCGGGGAGCAAAGUGCCGCACGUGUGCGGUUUGGAGAGUACCCGGAGAAAAAGCAUCGGCUAACUCCGUGCCAGCAGCCGCGGUAAUACGGAGGAUGCGAGCGUUAUCCGGAUUUAUUGGGUUUAAAGGGUGCGUAGGCGGACGCUUAAGUCAGCGGUAAAAUUGCGGGGCUCAACCUCGUCGAGCCGUUGAAACUGGGUGCCUUGAGUGGGCGAGAAGUACGCGGAAUGCGUGGUGUAGCGGUGAAAUGCAUAGAUAUCACGCAGAACUCCGAUUGCGAAGGCAGCGUACCGGCGCCCAACUGACGCUGAAGCACGAAGGCGUGGGUAUCGAACAGGAUUAGAUACCCUGGUAGUCCACGCAGUAAACGAUGAAUGCUAGUUGUCCGG
rnacentral:rRNA from 1 species